rnacentral:ncRNA from 1 species
GAAAGCCGUAUGAGGGAAAACCUCACGUACGGUUUGAUGAGGAGGGGCAGAAGUUAUCUGCCCUUUACUCUAG